ensembl:lncRNA novel transcript
GAUUCUCCUGCCUCAGUCUCCCGAGUAGCUGAGAUUACAGGUGCUCACCACCACGCCCAGCUAAUUUUUGUAUUUUUAGUAGAUAUGGGGUUUCACUACGUUGGCCAGGCUGGUCUCGAACUCCUGAACUUGUGAUCUGCCCACCUUGGCCUCUCCAAGUGCUGGGAUUACAGGCAUGAGACACUGCGCCCGGCCUGUGUCCCUUUUUUAGCUAGGAAACAGGAUGAGAAGGCAAUGGUUUACCAGAGAUUACACAGUGAGGCUAUGGCAGAGCUGGGCUUAGAAUGCAGGUUUAGAUGUAUUUUUUUUCCUACCUGUCUCUGUGGCUACCUUUCCCUGUUCCCCAGGUCUUCAAAGACACAGCUCCUCUCUUCCACCCCCAGGACUUGCCGGAGCAGCCUUACUUGCAGCCUCCACUCAGCAUCUUGGUGAUUGAGCGCCGGGCCUUUGGCCACACAGUCCUUGUGGGUUCCCACAUUGUCCCCCACAUGCUGCGAUUCACAUUUCGGGGUCAUGAGGAUCCUCCUGAGGAGGAAGGAGAGAUGGAGGAGACAGGGGAUAUGAUGCCCAAGGGACCUCAAGGACAGAAGUCCCUGGAUCCCUUCUUGGCUGAAGCGGGUAUAUCCAGACAGCUCCUGAAGCCUCCUCUGAAGAAGCUCCCACUAGGAGGCCUCCUAAAUCAAGGCCCUGGGCUGGAGGAAGACAUCCCAGAUCCAGAGGAGCUCGACUGGGGGUCCAAGUACUAUGCGUCGCUGCAGGAGCUCCAGGGGCAGCACAACUUUGAUGAAGAUGAAAUGGAUGAUCCUGGAGAUUCAGAUGGGGUCAACCUCAUUUCUAUGGUUGGGGAGAUCCAAGACCAGGGUGAGGCUGAAGUCAAAGGCACUGUGUCCCCAAAAAAAGCAGUUGCCACCCUGAAGAUCUACAACAGGUCCCUGAAGGAAGAAUUUAACCACUUUGAAGACUGGCUGAAUGUGUUUCCUCUGUACCGAGGGCAAGGGGGCCAGGAUGGAGGUGGAGAAGAGGAAGGAUCUGGACACCUUGUGGGCAAGUUCAAGGGCUCCUUCCUCAUUUACCCUGAAUCAGAGGCAGUGUUGUUCUCUGAGCCCCAGAUCUCCCGGGGGAUCCCACAGAACCGGCCCAUCAAGCUCCUGGUCAGAGUGUAUGUUGUAAAGGCUACCAACCUGGCUCCUGCAGACCCCAAUGGCAAAGCAGACCCUUACGUGGUGGUGAGCGCUGGCCGGGAGCGGCAGGACACCAAGGAACGCUACAUCCCCAAGCAGCUCAACCCCAUCUUUGGAGAGAUCCUGGAGCUAAGCAUCUCUCUCCCAGCUGAGACGGAGCUGACGGUCGCCGUAUUUGAUCAUGACCUCGUGGGUUCUGACGACCUCAUCGGGGAGACCCACAUUGAUCUGGAAAACCGAUUCUAUAGCCACCACAGAGCAAACUGUGGGCUGGCCUCCCAGUAUGAAGUGUGGGUCCAGCAGGGCCCACAGGAGCCAUUCUGAGUUUCUGGCCAAACACAUUCAAGCUCACAUUCCCUUUUGUGUUCUCCAGAUCCUAUGAUUUCAUGGAAGGGGACCCUCCCACCCACCGCCACUGCCAACCAAGACAUAGCUCAGUGGUCAAGACUUGGGCUUGGGAGUCGGGAUCCUGUAACGAAUGUCACUUGACCGCUUUCUUUUUUUAUGAAACAGUCUCGCUCUGUCUCCCAGGUUGGAGUGCAGUGGCACGAUCUCGGCUGACUGCAACCUCCACCUCCUGGGUUCAAGCGAUUCUCCUGCCUCAGCCUCCCCAGUAGCUGGGAUUACAGGCGUGGGCCCCCAUGUCCAGCUAAUUUUUAUAUUUUUAGUAGAGACAGGGUUUCACCAUGUUGUCCAGGCUGGUCUUGAACCCCUGACCUCAAGUGAUCCACCCACCUCUGCCUCCCAAAGUGCUGGGAUUACAGGUGUGAGCCACCAUGCCAGGCCCACUUAACCUCUUCAAGUCUGUUUUCUCAUCUGCAAAACAGAGGUAAUAAGAUCAGUAUCUUCUUAAUGGAAGCACCUGGACUACAUUUUUUUCAUUCAUUGUUAUCAUAAAUGAGGACUAACCUGUCUCCCGUUGGGAGUUUUGAACCUAGACCUCAUGUCUUCAUGACGUCAUCACUGCCCCAGGCCCAGCUGUGUCCCUACACCAGCCCCAGCUGACGCAUCUUCUUUUUCUGCCUGUAGAGAUGGUUACAAUGCCUGGCGUGAUGCAUUCUGGCCUUCGCAGAUCCUGGCGGGGCUGUGCCAACGCUGUGGCCUCCCUGCCCCUGAAUACCGAGCCGGUGCUGUCAAGGUGGGCAGCAAAGUCUUCCUGACACCACCGGAGACCCUGCCCCCAGGGAUCUCUUCACAUGUGGAUUGACAUCUUUCCUCAAGAUGUGCCUGCUCCACCCCCAGUUGACAUCAAGCCUCGGCAGCCAAUCAGCUAUGAGCUCAGAGUUGUCAUCUGGAACACGGAGGAUGUGGUUCUGGACGACGAGAAUCCACUCACCGGAGAGAUGUCGAGUGACAUCUAUGUGAAGAGGUAGGCUGCUGGCCGGGUGGGGCAACGGCGGUGCACUAGGGGGAUUGCAAAUGGGUGUGGGCCCUCGGGCUGAGUCCAGAGCCCCGACCCCAGGCCCUCCGUGGUGCUGAGAGCGGGGUGAGGAGUGGGUUCUCCAUGUAGCUCCAGCCCUGACGCUCACCCACCCCGGCCCCAGCUGGGUGAAGGGGUUGGAGCAUGACAAGCAGGAGACAGACGUUCACUUCAACUCCCUGACUGGGGAGGGGAACUUCAAUUGGCGCUUUGUGUUCCGCUUUGACUACCUGCCCACGGAGCGGGAGGUGAGCGUCCGGCGCAGGUCUGGACCCUUUGCCCUGGAGGAGGCGGAGUUCCGGCAGCCUGCAGUGCUGGUCCUGCAGGUCUGGGACUAUGACCGCAUCUCUGCCAAUGACUUCCUUGGAUCCCUGGAGUUGCAGCUACCAGACAUGGUGCGUGGGGCCCGGGGCCCCGAGCUCUGCUCUGUGCAGCUGGCCCGCAAUGGGGCCGGGCCGAGGUGCAAUCUGUUUCGCUGCUGCCGCCGCCUGAGGGGCUGGUGGCCGGUAGUGAAGCUGAAGGAGGCAGAGGACGUGGAGCGGGAGGCGCAGGAGGCUCAGGCUGGCAAGAAGAAGCGAAAGCAGAGGAGGAGGAAGGGCCGGCCAGAAGACCUGGAGUUCACAGACAUGGGUGGCAAUGUGUACAUCCUCACGGGCAAGGUGGAGGCAGAGUUUGAGCUGCUGACUGUGGAGGAGGCCGAGAAACGGCCAGUGGGGAAGGGGCGGAAGCAGCCAGAGCCUCUGGAGAAACCCAGCCGCCCCAAAACUUCCUUCAACUGGUUUGUGAACCCGCUGAAGACCUUUGUCUUCUUCAUCUGGCGCCGGUACUGGCGCACCCUGGUGCUGCUGCUACUGGUGCUGCUCACCGUCUUCCUCCUCCUGGUCUUCUACACCAUCCCUGGCCAGAUCAGCCAGGUCAUCUUCCGUCCCCUCCACAAGUGACUCUCGCUGACCUUGGACACUCACCCAGGGUGCCAACCCUUCAAUGCCUGCUCCUGGAAGUCUUUCUUACCCAUGUGAGCUACCCCAGAGUCUAGUGCUUCCUC